GUAAAGCGCGCGUAGGUGGCCAAUUAAGUCAAAUGUGAAAUCCCCGAGCUUAACUUGGGAAUUGCAUUCGAUACUGGUUGGCUAGAGUAUGGGAGAGGAUGGUAGAAUUCCAGGUGUAGCGGUGAAAUGCGUAGAGAUCUGGAGGAAUACCGAUGGCGAAGGCAGCCAUCUGGCCUAAUACUGACACUGAGGUGCGAAAGCAUGGGGAGCAAACAGGAUUAGAUACCCUGGUAGUCCAUGCCGUAAACGAUGUCUACUAGCCGUUGGGGCCUUUGAGGCUUUAGUGGCGCAGCUAACGCGAUAAGUAGACCGCCUGGGGAGUACGGUCGCAAGACUAAAACUCAAAUGAAUUGACGGGGGCCCGCACAAGCGGUGGAGCAUGUGGUUUAAUUCGAUGCAACGCGAAGAACCUUACCUGGUCUUGACAUAGUAAGAACUUUCCAGAGAUGGAUUGGUGCCUUCGGGAACUUACAUACAGGUGCUGCAUGGCUGUCGUCAGCUCGUGUCGUGAGAUGUUGGGUUAAGUCCCGCAACGAGCGCAACCCUUUUCCUUAUUUGCCAGCGGGUUAAGCCGGGAACUUUAAGGAUACUGCCAGUGACAAACUGGAGGAAGGCGGGGACGACGUCAAGUCAUCAUGGCCCUUACGACCAGGGCUACACACGUGCUACAAUGGUCGGUACAAAGGGUUGCUACCUCGCGAGAGGAUGCUAAUCUCAAAAAGCCGAUCGUAGUCCGGAUUGGAGUCUGCAACUCGACUCCAUGAAGUCGGAAUCGCUAGUAA
rnacentral:rRNA from 1 species